GACGAACGCUGGCGGCGUGCUUAACACAUGCAAGUCGAACGGAAAGGCCCUGCUUUUGUGGGGUGCUCGAGUGGCGAACGGGUGAGUAACACGUGAGUAACCUGCCCUUGACUUUGGGAUAACUUCAGGAAACUGGGGCUAAUACCGGAUAGGAGCUCCUGCUGCAUGGUGGGGGUUGGAAAGUUUCGGCGGUUGGGGAUGGACUCGCGGCUUAUCAGCUUGUUGGUGGGGUAGUGGCUUACCAAGGCUUUGACGGGUAGCCGGCCUGAGAGGGUGACCGGCCACAUUGGGACUGUGAUACGACCCAGACUCCUACGGGAGGCAGCAGUGGGGAAUAUUGCACAAUGGGCGGAAGCCUGAUGCAGCAACGCCGCGUGCGGGAUGACGGCCUUCGGGUUGUAAACCGCUUUCGCCUGUGACGAAGCGUGAGUGACGGUAAUGGGUAAAGAAGCACCGGCUAACUACGUG
rnacentral:rRNA from 1 species